AGAAGCCAUUUUAAUCCGCGAGACUAGAUACUGCUAGUAACUAUGUAGAGUCCCUAUGGCUGCCAUGUUUGUCACUAGAUCGUAGUAUGUUAGAGACAAUGAAAUGGAGAAUUUUAGAAUUUUAGUCGACACGUGGAAAUUGGAAACGAGCCAUAAAUCGCGAGUCUUUCAAUGGAGCUCUGGGUAUCCAAAACAAAAGGUCUUUGUCAUGUUUUUUAUUAUUGAGGUUCAAGUGGAAGUCGAUGUCGGGAUUAAAUGGUUAGUGUGAUAAACGUCUUCCAGAGACAGUUGACAUUUCUCCGAGAGAAACUCAAGUAUUUUCUAUCACCUUCUGAAAGCCACGUGUGAGGCCCCUUUGUUGGUGUAACGUAGCGUGGAGAGUGGGGGGUUGGGUCAGUUUGAGCUAUCACGGGGGUGCAAGACCAACCCCAUCACCAAGUUCAAGGCCACCAUUGCUCACCUACUCCCUCAUGUCGCAUUAACCCCACCAUCUUCGACACUUUGACGAAUUUUUAGGUUACGACAAGAGUCAGGCCCAUUCUCAAUGUCACCACGACUGGUUCGGAGGCACUUUAAAACGUCUUCUGGAAUACCAACUCGUUAUUGCAAUUGAUAAACUGAGUUCAGAGUGAAUUAUUAACCAUAAAAUUAGUGGUUGUGUUCAUUUAGAACUAGAGUUGACAAGUCUGGCAAUGAAAAUGAAAAUAAAAAUAAGACAAAGAUGUUAAAAUUAUUUACUAUGAACAAUUAUCUUUAUUGAAUAUAUAUGCGUUUUUUUAUUAAUUAAUUCGUGUCUCCAACAGACACCCAGCUCUCCCUUUACAUUUACAUUUGAUAAAAAAUUACAUUAUCAUUAUGCGUUGAAUGAGAUAAUCAGAUGUUGAAAUUAAUUUAUUCUGUCAAUUUUCUUCUGUUUCCUGAUUUUGACUAAAUUAUAGGAACUGUAAAAAAUUAUAGCAAUUAUUUAUUUAACGAAGAAUCAAAGUGCACAUCAGAGACACAAACACUUGUGUUUAUCAUCCUCUCUAUGAUUUAUUUAAUCCAGCAAUUUGUUUCUUAUCGUCUUUACUUACAGUCAAACUUAUCUGAUAUAUUCGUCCGAGUAAAA